rnacentral:miRNA from 1 species
UUAAAUAACCGAUCUUAAAAGUACUUUUAAGAUCGGUUAAAUUUUAACUGAUCUUAAAAGUGCUACUUUUAAAAUCGAUUAUUUCA